ACUUAGCUGGCUCAGUCAGUAGAACAUGUGACUCUUGAUCUCAGGGUUGUGAGUUCAAGCCCCAUGUUGGGUA
rnacentral:tRNA from 1 species